rnacentral:rRNA from 1 species
CCUACGGGAGGCAGCAGUGGGGAAUAUUCGACAAUGGGCGCAAGCCUGACCCAGCAACGCCGCGUGAAGGAAGAAGGCUUUCGGGUCGUAAACUUCUGUUGAGAGGGAAGAGCAAAAGACGGUACCUCUUGAAUAAGCCACAGCUAACUACGUGCCAACAGCAGCGGUAAUACGUAGGUGGCAGGCGUUGUCCGGAUUUACUGGGUGUAAAGGGCGUGUAGCCGGGCUGACAAGUCAGAUGUGAAAUCCCGUGGCUCAACCACGGAACUGCAUUUGAAACUGUCGGUCUUGAGUAUCGGAGAGGCAGGCGGAAUUCCGAGUGUAGCGGUGAAAUGCGUAGAUAUUAGGAGGAACACCAGUGGCGAAGGCGGCCUGCUGGACGACAACUGACGGUGAGGCGCGAAAGCGUGGGGAGCAAACAGGAUUAGAUACCCUAGUAGUC